rnacentral:rRNA from 1 species
UAACACAUGCAAGUCGAGCGGAAACGAGUUGUCUGAACCUUCGGGGAACGAUAACGGCGUCGAGCGGCGGACGGGUGAGUAAUGCCUGGGAAAUUGCCCUGAUGUGGGGGAUAACCAUUGGAAACGAUGGCUAAUACCGCAUAAUAGCUUCGGCUCAAAGAGGGGGACCUUCGGGCCUCUCGCGUCAGGAUAUGCCCAGGUGGGAUUAGCUAGUUGGUGAGGUAAUGGCUCACCAAGGCGACGAUCCCUAGCUGGUCUGAGAGGAUGAUCAGCCACACUGGAACUGAGACACGGUCCAGACUCCUACGGGAGGCAGCAGUGGGGAAUAUUGCACAAUGGGCGCAAGCCUGAUGCAGCCAUGCCGCGUGUAUGAAGAAGGCCUUCGGGUUGUAAAGUACUUUCAGCAGUGAGGAAGGUUCAUGCGUUAAUAGCGUAUGGAUUUGACGUUAGCUGCAGAAGAAGCACCGGCUAACUCCGUGCCAGCAGCCGCGGUAAUACGGAGGGUGCGAGCGUUAAUCGGAAUUACUGGGCGUAAAGCGCAUGCAGGUGGUUUGUUAAGUCAGAUGUGAAAGCCCGGGGCUCAACCUCGGAAUAGCAUUUGAAACUGGCAGACUAGAGUACUGUAGAGGGGGGUAGAAUUUCAGGUGUAGCGGUGAAAUGCGUAGAGAUCUGAAGGAAUACCGGUGGCGAAGGCGGCCCCCUGGACAGAUACUGACACUCAGA